UUUGUUUAGACCCGGCACCGUGCUCACCGUAGCCCGGGACCGCGGUCCAGAGUUUCCGAGCACCUCCGGUGGUAAUCUUUUGCGGCGAGCCGGUGAAGGAUCCUCAUCCGUCCGUCACCUGACAGACCAUUUGGAACGGGACCGGGUACUUACGACGAUGAAAAAGCGUGACAUCGAAAACACAUUACGCGGUGGGCAGAAAGGAACGCACCGUCGGCAAUAAUCGGACACGAGCAGCCGAACCUGCCACCGACAUAUCGGCAAACCACGCUGCAGUAAUGGAUCAAAUGUGGACAUUAAUCAAGCGCAACCAUACACCUCCAAACGGUUUGCCGUGCUGAUACUUGCGGGCGGACGACGGGUUGGAUUUAGGCCCAAUGAGUUAUUCGUUAUUCGUGUGUGGCUGCUCCGGAGAGGUCGCGCUAAAGUUACCCACCAAGCUCAGGCAAGAUAGAUGAGACGUGCAGGUAGCGCUGGAUCACAUAAAUUCAUCAUAAUUGAUACUUAACUUCUGGAGCCGCCCGUAUAAACCUCGACCCAUCAAGUGGAGCUCUUCAUUUUCCGCCUUUUAUUCACGUUAAUACACACUGGCUCUCGAAGUAAAAAAACAAACCCUCCAUCUGACAGAACGGCAGAAGAAGGAGAUCAUUAUAAUAUUAGCGCGCACACAGGCGAAAAAAAAGGGGGCAAGCAGCUUUCGGAAAUUUGGCAAUUCUAGCGAACUGGUGGGAAACGCAACCAAUUUCGUACGAUAGUGGCGCUAACUCGUCAAAACAGCUGCUCCCUUAACCCGGACGGUGCAUCGCACACAAGGGUUAAACAGCGGAUAAGUGAGUUCAGUGCAUGCGCUUAUUAGCUGUCGCAGACGGGCUGGAUGCAACAACAUAAAAAAACCGCUCCAGAGAAUUCUCCAGGAAACUCUUCGGUCGUGCCUGUUCGGUGUUGAAAGUGGCUGUGGCCGUCUGCAGAUGUUUGGUGGAUUAUCUGAGGUCCUUGGUGAUGCUCGCAACUUGUCUGCUUUUUUUUUUUUUUGUUUCGUUGGUCCCGGGCAUCGAUCAUCUGCUCGUUAGCGAGCUGUGGACGGUUCGGUAAAAUCAUAAACCUGUAACCACAACAGUUCGGUAGCACCAGGAACACUCAUCCCACCGGCAAAUCAAGAGGGUCCCACAAGCAGGGUCUCGCUAUGGUAACCCUGCACACGAAAACGGUCCUCACUCGCUGAUCAAACGUACCAUCACUGCACUGCACGCUGAUUGGCAUCGGUGGCCCGUCCCUCGCUCGAUUCUCCAAGUCUUCCACCAUCCCCAGCGGGCGGUUCUGUGUGUUUAAGUGCAUGCCACUUUUCAAAAAUUACCCAAUUUCCGCAGACCUGUUGAAAGCAAAUAAUGUAAUUAUGCUCGUAAAUGCAGAAGAAGGGAAUGCACAUACACACACACACAAACAAAAAAAGGCAAACAACAAUUCCAAAGAACGCUUCAUUUGCUGUUGCUGGUGGUGGUUCGUGGAUUCGGUUCACGGUGCGCAGAGGUAAUUACCCAUUGCCGGGGUACGCUAUUGCCACUUGCAGUUGGCAUCUCAAAAAUCUGUUUCUGCAACAGUUUUUGGUUUUAACCUCUGGUCGGUGGCACACCGUUAAUGCUUGGAGCUGUUUAUUUUGGGCUUAAAAUACGCCACUCCACCUUCCCAGCAGCCUGGUGCGUCGGGGCUGCUAGUAUGCAUAAUUUCUGGAUGGUUCUUUUGGAAUACUGUUCGGAGAGAGAUUGCUUUCCGAAGGAGUUGGAUACGUCCAGCAAAUUCUAUUUGCCUCUUGUUCUGCUUUAUCCCAUUCUGUACUUUCGGGAAGUGACUCGGAAAGACACAUGGUGGAUGAGCAACAUUUCACCGUCCAAUAUGUCAGCUUUCACCGGGAAGCACGGCAGGAAGUUUGAUUUAGAGUUGCUGGAGCUCAAGUGUUAAGUAGCUUGAGUUUGAACUUUUUUGUCCUGAUACGAAAGGGAGUUGUGGUCGAAGAAGGGUUUCAGAAUUCCUAGCGAUGUGUUACACGUGACAGAUGUAUCAGUGAGGAUCGAUUAAGAUAACGACCUUAUAAAAAAAAACAAGUAGGAAUGAGCCAACUCCCAAUCCAACCCAUCCAAGGAAAAUGAGCUGGAACCGUAGAAGAGGAAUAAAAAGUAAAAACACGAGAUGAAGUAAUUAACCGCAUGAGAUGAAUCUCAUUUUCCGGCCAACUUGUGACAGCCCGCACAAAGCACGAUGAAAUAGCUCCAACUUCCUUCUGUGUUUGCUUCUUCCUUUUUUUGGGGGGGGAAGGGAAAGAUCAAGAGAAGACCCCGUUUGCUGGAACGGCACGCUGGCGGUGGUGCCGUCUCAAUUUCUCCCAUGGAUCUCUCCCAUGACAUGAGAAAUAGGCGACAAAUGUUUGCAUCAAUUUCAACAAACAAAGCAUAAAUCUUCGCUCUGCCAUCCAUUUGUAACCGAUUCCGGGAACCUCGGACUGUUUUCCCGAUGGUCCCAGCUCGCAACGGCAAACACUUGGCUGGAGAGAGCGAGAGAGUGAGAUGCGAAGGGAACGAGCCCUUGCAUCCUAAAGGGUCCUAAGAAUAGAUCUCACGCCCGACAAAUGGGCUACGGUUUACUGCCACCGCUGGGAGUGGGAGUUCCGAAAGGCAAGUUAUACGAUGAUAGGCAGCGAGGGCCUCGGGUUUGAUAGAGGCCUAGACGGGGAGGAAUUGUAACAAAAAUCUACAAGUUAAUAUUUUAUGCCUCUAAUGCUUUUUAUAAUCAUCGUAAAUAUUAUUUUUAUUUUCUCAAGACGCACUCCGCAAGCGACAGCCGGUUGGUCCCAGCCCAACCGUAAGGCCUCCGUCCGUCCGGCGCGGACGUGAAUGAGCAGAGUGAUCUCGAGAUCACGAAGCACAGCCCGUGUGUCGUGCGUGAGCGAAACGCAUGGAUGGACGAUCGAUAUCGGCGCCCUGACGACACGACAGCAGGCACAGAGAAAUUGAUGCCACGCAGGAACGAAGCAGAAGGAAACAAAUUACACAAGAAGGCUGCGGAUGCAGAGCGCAAACCCUUGACAGGAAUCUAAUGAAUUAGAACACGGUCACGUUCUCGGUGCUACCUUCACGACGGUGACCGAAACGGACGAACGAACUGAAAAAAAAACCCUCAACGCACGACGUAAAUGGCGUCAUCGUGCGGUAAACCACACCACACAGCUCGCGCCCUGUGUGUCACGGGAAGGGAUGAGAGAUUUAAGUGAAAUAAUUAAAAAUCUAUUUCGAAGGAUUUAUGAAAGUGAUGUGCUGGUUACGAUCGCGUAAGGUCUACCGUACCGUGCGCAAAGACGCAUGGAGUUCGGAGGUGAGAGGAUCGUUUUUGAAACAAAUCAUCUCGGUAGCGAUGUCAACCGUGAUACUUCAUCUUGUUGUAAUGAAUUAUAAUGUCAUUGAGGUUGAUAUGCUUCACAACUGGGCUAAAUCAAGAACAAAAAAUACUCUCAGAGAUAUGUUGGGCAGUGAGAGAUAGUGCUCGAUCCUCGCUUGAGAGGAAUUACUUCAUGGCUUUUGUUUUCCAUUUCAAACCAACAGGAGGUCAUGAAUGCUGACACAACUGUGUAAGAUGUUCUUCGGACAACCUUAAGAGAUUCUCAAGGCAUCUCAAGAAUGUAGUCUA